rnacentral:tRNA from 1 species
GGAGCUGUAGCUCAGCGGUUAAGCACUUGCCUCGCAUGCAUGAGGCACUGAGUUCAAUUCUCAGCACCA